rnacentral:rRNA from 1 species
CAGCAGCCGCGGUAAUACGAAGGGUGCAAGCGUUAAUCGGAAUUACUGGGCGUAAAGCGUGCGUAGGCGGUGAGUUAAGUCUGCUGUGAAAUCCCCGGGCUCAACCUGGGAAUGGCAGUAGAUACUGGCAAGCUAGAGUGUGUCAGAGGAUGGUGGAAUUCCCGGUGUAGCGGUGAAAUGCGUAGAGAUCGGGAGGAACAUCAGUGGCGAAGGCGGCCAUCUGGGACAACACUGACGCUGAGGCACGAAAGCGUGGGGAGCAAACAGGAUUAGAUACCCCAGUAGUCCCUGUCUCUUAUAC